UUGACGGAGAGUUUGAUCCUGGCUCAGGACGAACGCUGGCGGCGUGCUUAAUACAUGCAAGUCGAACGCUCUCGACCUUCGGGUCACUGAGAGAGUGGCGAACGGGUGCGUAACACGUGAGAAACCUACCCCGAAGACGGGAAUAGCCCGAGGAAACUCGGAUUAAUACCCGAUAUCUUCACACUGUCGCAUGGCAGAGUGAAGAAAGUUCAGGCGCUUCGGGAGGGUCUCGCGGCCUAUCAGCUUGUUGGUGAGGUAACGGCUCACCAAGGCAUCGACGGGUAGCUGGUCUGAGAGGAUGAUCAGCCACACUGGGACUGAGACACGGCCCAGACUCCUACGGGAGGCAGCAGUAGGGAAUCUUGCGCAAUGGGCGAAAGCCUGACGCAGC
rnacentral:rRNA from 1 species